CGGACCAAACUCCUACGGGAGGCAGCAGUGAGGAAUAUUGGUCAAUGGCCGAGAGGCUGAACCAGCCAAGUCGCGUGAAGGAAGAAGGAUCUAUGGUUUGUAAACUUCUUUUAUAGGGGAAUAAAGUGGAGGACGUGUCCUUUUUUGUAUGUACCCUAUGAAUAAGCAUCGGCUAACUCCGUGCCAGCAGCCGCGGUAAUACGGAGGAUGCGAGCGUUAUCCGGAUUUAUUGGGUUUAAAGGGUGCGUAGGUGGUGAUUUAAGUCAGCGGUGAAAGUUUGUGGCUCAACCAUAAAAUUGCCGUUGAAACUGGGUUACUUGAGUGUGUUUGAGGUAGGCGGAAUGCGUGGUGUAGCGGUGAAAUGCAUAGAUAUCACGCAGAACUCCGAUUGCGAAGGCAGCUUACUAAACCAUAACUGACACUGAAGCACGAAAGCGUGGGGAUCAAACAGGAUUAGAUACCCUGGUAGUCCACGCAGUAAACGAUGAUUACUAGGAGUUUGCGAUACAAUGUAAGCUCUACAGCGAAAGCGUUAAGUAAUCCACCUGGGGAGUACGCCGGCAACGGUGAAACUCAAAGGAAUUGACGGGGGCCCGCACAAGCGGAGGAACAUGUGGUUUAAUUCGAUGAUACGCGAGGAACCUUACCCGGGCUUAAAUUGCAGAUGAAUUACGGUGAAAGCCGUAAGCCGCAAGGCAUCUGUGAAGGUGCUGCAUGGUUGUCGUCAGCUCGUGCCGUGAGGUGUCGGCUUAAGUGCCAUAACGAGCGCAACCCUUAUCACUAGUUACUAACAGGUGAAGCUGAGGACUCUGGUGAGACUGCCAGCGUAAGCUGUGAGGAAGGUGGGGAUGACGUCAAAUCAGCACGGCCCUUACAUCCGGGGCGACACACGUGUUACAAUGGCAUGGACAAAGGGCAGCUACCUGGUGACAGGAUGCUAAUCUCCAAACCAUGUCUCAGUUCGGAUCGGAGUCUGCAACUCGACUCCGUGAAGCUGGAUUCGCUAGUAAUCGCGCAUCAGCCAUGGCGCGGUGAAUACGUUCCCGGGCCUUGUACACACCGCCCGUCAAGCCAUGGGAGCCGGGGGUACCUGAAGUGCGUAACCGCGAGGAGCGCCCUAGGGUAAAACUGGUGACUGGGGCUAAGUCGUAACAAGGUAGCCGUACCGGAAGGUGCGGCUG
rnacentral:rRNA from 1 species